CUACGGGGGCUGCAGUGGGGAAUAUUGGACAAUGGGCGCAAGCCUGGUCCAGCAAUGCCGCGUGAGUGAAGACGGCCUUAGGGUUGUAAAACUCUGUCGCUAGGGAAGAUAAUGACUGUACCUAGUAAAGAAGUCCCGGCUAACUCCGUGCCAGCAGCCGCGGUAAUACGGAGGGGACUAGCGUUGUUCGGAAUUACUGGGCGUAAAGAGUUCGUAGGCGGACUGACAAGUUAGAGGUGAAAUCCCAGGGCUCAACCCUGGAACUGCCUUUAAAACUGUCAGUCUAGAGACCGGAAGAGGUUAGGGGAAUACCUAGUGUAGAGGUGAGAUUCGUAGAUAUUAGGUGGAACACCAGUGGCGAAGGCGCCUAACUGGUCCGGUACUGACGCUGAGGAACGAAAGCGUGGGGAGCAAACAGGAUUAGAUACCCUGGUAGUC
rnacentral:rRNA from 1 species